UUUGUGCUCUUUUACUUUCUCACCAUAAAAGCCCUCAAAAACCUUUCCUUAUUACACUCUCUCACUAGCUGGACAUUCUAGAGAGAGAAAGUGAGAUUUUCAUGAUAGUUUGAAAACUUUUAGAAAAGAAAUUCAAUUACAAAGCUACCAAGGUCCCAACGAGGCCCCACAGUUCCAUUUGGACCAUUAGUGGAGGUUGGAGUCGAGUAAAGAUUCAACAAAU
rnacentral:lncRNA from 1 species